GCCGACAUUUUAAAUCCGCCUCAACUGUUUGCUUCCUUCCGCCAUGACAAGUUUCUCCUUCCUUGAGCACGUUGUGUGUACCAGGAUGCAAAAGGCUGUAGCUAUCAGAUGCUCGCAUUCAUUCUUCAGCCUACAGGCUUGCAGCAUAUGACACUGGGAUUUAAAGCACCGCACCCGUGAAAGGAAACCUCCCACCCCAAGUGCCACUCGUGAGAGUAAUGGAAGAGUUGUCACACCAUGCCCAGGACAACAUAACCAGAGACUUCAGGAGUGAAGAGAAACAGGUAAGAGAAGCCAACCCACGGCUCGGUGCCCA